rnacentral:miRNA from 1 species
AGCCCCAUCCUCUGACCGAGGUGGGAUCCAGGGGCCUCUCCAGUCCACCGAGGGUGCACCACCUUACCAUCUCGCCCGCCGCCUCGGG